rnacentral:rRNA from 1 species
GACAUUGAUAGAAUCUGCUAGAGAUAGCGGAGUGCCCUUCGGGGAACUUGAAAACAGGUGCUGCACGGCUGUCGUCAGCUCGUGUCGUGAGAUGUUGGGUUAAGUCCCGCAACGAGCGCAACCCUCGUCACUAGUUACUAACGGUUCGGCCGAGGACUCUAGUGAGACUGCCUUCGUAAGGAGGAGGAAGGUGAGGACGACGUCAAGUCAUCAUGGCCCUUACGGCCAGGGCGACACACGUGCUACAAUGGGAUGUACAAUGAGACGCAAUACCGCGAGGUGGAGCAAAUCUAUAAAGCAUCUCUCAGUUCGGAUUGUAGUCUGCAACUCGACUACAUGAAGCUGGAAUCACUAGUAAUCGUAGAUCAGCCAUGCUACGGUGAAUACGUUCCCGGGUCUUGUACUCACCGCCCGUCACACCAUGGGAGUUGAUUUCACCCGAAGCGGGGAAGCUAAACUGGCUACCCUCCACGGUGGAAUCAGCGACUGGGGUG